CCUACGGGUUGCAGCAGUGGGGAAUAUUGCACAAUGGGCGCAAGCCUGAUGCAGCCAUGCCGCGUGUAUGAAGAAGGCCUUCGGGUUGUAAAGUACUUUCAGCGGGGAGGAAGGGAGUAAAGUUAAUACCUUUGCUCAUUGACGUUACCCGCAGAAGAAGCACCGGCUAACUCCGUGCCAGCAGCCGCGGUAAUACGAAGGGGGCUAGCGUUGCUCGGAAUGACUGGGCGUAAAGGGCGCGUAGGCGGUUUAUGCAGUCAGAUGUGAAAUCCCCGGGCUCAACCUGGGAACUGCAUCUGAUACUGGCAAGCUUGAGUCUCGUAGAGGGGGGUAGAACUCCAGGUGUAGCGGUGAAAUGCGUAGAGAUCUGGAGGAAUACCGGUGGCGAAGGCGGCCCCCUGGACGAAGACUGACGCUCAGGUGCGAAAGCGUGGGGAGCAAACAGGAUUAGAUACCCGCGUAGUC
rnacentral:rRNA from 1 species